rnacentral:rRNA from 1 species
AAAUUGAAGAGUUUGAUCAUGGCUCAGAUUGAACGCUGGCGGCAGGCCUAACACAUGCAAGUCGAGCGGAAACGAGUUAUCUGAACCUUCGGGGAACGAUAACGGCGUCGAGCGGCGGACGGGUGAGUAAUGCCUAGGAAAUUGCCCUGAUGUGGGGGAUAACCAUUGGAAACGAUGGCUAAUACCGCAUGAUGCCUACGGGCCAAAGAGGGGGACCUUCGGGCCUCUCGCGUCAGGAUAUGCCUAGGUGGGAUUAGCUAGUUGGUGAGGUAAGGGCUCACCAAGGCGACGAUCCCUAGCUGGUCUGAGAGGAUGAUCAGCCACACUGGAACUGAGACACGGUCCAGACUCCUACGGGAGGCAGCAGUGGGGAAUAUUGCACAAUGGGCGCAAGCCUGAUGCAGCCAUGCCGCGUGUGUGAAGAAGGCCUUCGGGUUGUAAAGCACUUUCAGUCGUGAGGAAGGUAGUGUAGUUAAUAGCUGCAUUAUUUGACGUUAGCGACAGAAGAAGCACCGGCUAACUCCGUGCCAGCAGCCGCGGUAAUACGGAGGGUGCGAGCGUUAAUCGGAAUUACUGGGCGUAAAGCGCAUGCAGGUGGUUUGUUAAGUCAGAUGUGAAAGCCCGGGGCUCAACCUCGGAAUUGCAUUUGAAACUGGCAGACUAGAGUACUGUAGAGGGGGGUAGAAUUUCAGGUGUAGCGGUGAAAUGCGUAGAGAUCUGAAGGAAUAC